rnacentral:tRNA from 1 species
AGGGACUUAGGCUAAAAAGACCAAGGGCCUUCAAAGCCCUAAGCGGGAGUUAAACUCUCCCAGACCCUG